GUUUUGGGUUAGAACUUUUUGGGGAAAUCAUAGAAAAAGACUACUGUCAAACAGGAGCAGUAAUAGCUUUUCAAAGACUGUAGGACUUCACACAUGCAGUGAGGCAGCUGGUCUGGGGAAGAAGUCACCUCCCUAUUUGCUGAAGUUUUGACCUCACUUAACAAUGAGAAAUGCAAGUCAGCAGCUUGAGAUGGAUUUUCAUUAAUUACUACAAGGUAUCUCGUGUCUCCAAAGAGGUAGUGGAGAAUAAACUUCAAAUAUUUUCUAAAGUGAAGCUAUGUAAGAACAGACAUGGAAAAAAUACAAUGCGUAGUUGUGAGAUGACUUAAUGAAUGACAGAUUGU